GCCUGCGGAGGGGACGUGGGACGGGCGUGAGAGGUGGCGGAGCGGCUGGGGCUCCGUCUUUAGCGGCCAUUCGAUUGUAGAAGGCAGAGCCGUCCUCUUGACAAGUACUGUUGAGGUUACUGUUUUGUCUUGCAUGACGUAAGAAUUCAAACUCCAAAAAAAGCUUCUGGACAAUUUAAUAAAGUUCACUUCAGCAGAGAAAAUAUUGUAUGCAAAGACAAAAAAAUUAACACCAUUUCAAUGAGAGGUCACUUACAUAUUCCAUUGUGAAGACGUUUUCAAAAGUUAAUACAAAACAUGUACACCUGUCCUGUUUUCCUCGUAAGCCUCACAUUGCUGUGUCUCCUACCUCUCCGCAUCUGCUGGCUUGUGCACAUGGUGUUCCUGUCUCCUCUGCUGGAUGAUGGCAGCUGCAGCCCACUGCUCUUCUCUCUAAGCAAGCAUUCCAGAAAGCUUGGAGAACCGCAGCUGCCCUUUUCAGAGCAAAAGGGCAGCUAAAGCUGGAUAGCUAAAGCUGGGACUUCUUACUAAGUAAGAUAUGAACAACUCCUGCCCACCACUGCAAUUCCCCAGUGUAUAAACAUCAGCUUCCACAAACUUAAGAUAUGCCUCCGAGGAGUCAGAGGAGCUUGUUCCAACCCUUGCUAUGGUUUGGUUUUUAUCACUGGCAUCAAAUAGUUCAGUUAUUUUCCUUGCAUUAAUAGGCUUCAUUUCUGUACAAGAAAAUGUCUUAAAUGAUCAUAGUUUGUCCGUCAUCGUUUCAAGUAAAAAUGGUUUGCUAUGACAAAAGCAGCUAUUUGAGCUUGCAACUCAAAAGACUUACAUGUGCUUUUUCUGAAGACACCGUAUUUUAGUAUGCAGAAGAAUUAAUUUACGUGUAUUUCCCAUUUGUCACACAAAAUGUUAAAAGGACAUGUACUCCAUAAAAUUAAUGGUUUUUACUAAGUUUUUUUAAGGACAUUCUUAAACUUUUUUUUUUAUAACGUGUGGCAGGAAGAAUACAUUGACUUAAUUCAUGCUAGCAGUUUUACUCACCAUUGCUUUUGCACCAUCAAUGCAAAUGCCAAUGCAGGUGUUCCAAGAUAAACUAUGAAAUUCAAAAAGUUCAUUUACCACUUUGAUAUUUCAGCAGAAGUUGUAUUUAAUGCCUGUCAUUCAAAUAAAAGAUCUUCUCUGAUGAUUAGUUGGUGCUGAUACCAGAUAGAUGUAGGCAAAACAGCUAGUCCAGCAAAAUCUGUAGGCCUGCCCAUUUUUUAAGGUAAAAUUACAAUUCUGCAGACGAGAUAUCAACCCAAUCUUCAUGAUUUCAGUUAAAUCUUUAAAAAGUUACUGUAUAUGUGGAAAAUUGAACUUACGUAAUUUAUUUUACUGACUUUUCAUCCAGCAGGUAUUGCGAUGUCAUCUGUAUACAGCUUCAUUCGUAUUUUGUAUGCUCCAGCCAAUGCAAUACAAUAAUUCAGUCUGUAAAGUGUUUCCGUGGCUUUUUCACUUCUGAUUUCAAAAGCUAGAAUAAUGUUUGGCUUUAAAGAGCUUUUCACAUCUAUUUUUUAAUAUAUUCAGUUCCUUUUUCUUUAAACUCUCAUCUCAAAAUGAAACUACAACUUAUCUGAAAGUCUUUUGUUACAUAAGACACAAUAAGGUAAAUUGUUAACAUCUAUAAGGCCAAGGAAAAGAUACUUUUCCUUCUAUUUUUAUUUUUUAUUUAUAUUAUAUCCAGUUUCUUUAAAUAGAUUACUUCCUUCCAUGAAUCAGAGGACUCUGAUAUCUCAGUUUCAUCUUUUUUGGCAUUUUUUGACGUAAUCCAUUCGUUGGGGUGAGAAAGCAAUUCUUCUAAUCUCCCAUUUAAAGCCAACGAUCCAUCCAUUUCCCAUGUUGUUUCUUCCUUUGCAUAAAUUCAGAUUUCUAUCUGGUUUCAUUUCUCUCCUGCAUUUCCUUCUUUAACAUUUCUUUUUCUCUUUUUUUUUGAGGAAG
rnacentral:lncRNA from 1 species